AAGAGAAAACGCGUGAUUUUGGGUUAAAUGGGGGAUUCUUGAAGAGAAAACGCGUGAUUUUCGCUUAAAUGGGGGAUUCUCGAAGAGAAAACACGUGAUUUUCGCUUAAAUGGGGGAUUCUCGAAAAGAAAAUGCGUGAUUUCCACUUAAAUGGGGGAUUUGCGAAGAGAAAAUGCGUGAUUUUCGGGUUAAAUGGGGGAUUCUCGAAGAGAAAACGCGUGAUUUUCGCUUACAUGGGGGAUUUGCAAAGAGAAAGCCCCUGAUUUUCGGGUUAAAUGGGGGAUUUGCGAAGAGAAAACGCGUGAUUUUCGGUUAAGUGGGGGAUUUGCGAAGAGAAAACGCGUGAUUUUCGCUUAAAUGGGCGAUUUGCGAAGAGAAAAGGCGUUAUUUUCAGUUAAAUGGGGGAUUCUCGAAGAGAAAACGCGUGAUUUUCGGGUUAAAUGGGGGAUUUGCGAAGAGAAAACACGUGAUUUUCGGGUUAAAUGGGGGAUUUGCGAAGAGAAAACGCGUGAUUUUCGCUUAAACGGAGGAUUUGCGAAGAGAAAACGUGUGAUUUUCGGGUUAAAUGGGGGAUUUGCGAAGAGAAAACGCAUGAUUUUGGGGUUAAAUGGGGGAUUCUCAAAGAGAAAACGCGUGAUUUUCAGGUUAAAUGGCGGAUUCUCAAAGAGAAAAAGCGUGAUUUUCGCUUAAAUGGGGUAUUUGCAAAGAGAAAACGCGUGAUUUUCAGGUUAAAUGGGGGAUUUGCGAAGAGAAAACGCAUGAUUUUUGGGUUAAAUGGGGGAUUCUCGAAGAGAAAACGGGUGAUUUUCGGUUAAAUGGGGGAUUUGUGAAAAGAAAAAGCGUGAUUUUCGAGUUAAGUGGGGGAUUCUCGAAGAGAAAAUGGGUGAUUUUCGCUUAAAUGGCGGAUUCUCAAGAGAAAACGCGUGAUUUUGGGGUUAAAUGGGGGAUUCUUGAAGAGAAAACGCGUAAUUUUCGCUGAAAUGGGGAUUCUCGAAGAGAAACA
ensembl:lncRNA